CGCAUCUCACCAUGCACCACGUGGGAAUCAACGGUGACUGAAUCUCAUUCCACACUCUCGACCAAGAGAAAAGAACAAGAAAGAGUCGAGACACAGUGAUCCGGUCAUCUGCAGUACCCCCCCACGUGCCACGGAAGGGAAAUCCAUCUGCCCCACCUGACUAUGCUAAUCAUGAUGCGAUCCAGAUCCCACAACAACCCCCCGAGGUGAGGCCUGGAGCAGUGAUUAAGAAUGAGUCACUCAAUGGAGGAUUUGAUGACAACAUACAACCACACAUGAAGACCACAGACGAGAAGAAGGAAAUAGCCAGGGAACGAGAAAGAUUCCCCCAGUCCAACAGGGACAGAGGACGAUUCCCCCCAGUCAGACAGACAGAAAGAACCUCGACCAUGCCACAACUGUGGACAAAUUGGACACUGGAUGAGAGAAUGUAAAGCCCCUCGAAAGAUGUACCGUGACCGCUCCAACGAGAGAGUAGGGGAAGAAAACCGCUCAGACAAAAUGAGGGAACGAUUGAAGAAGUUACAGGCGAAGAGUGUUGAAGAACUCAGCCGCCUGUGCGAUUCAGUGUUGGAAACCAAGAAUAACACCAACUUGGAAUGACACUCGUUAGAUUUGGCACGCAAACUAACUGAUACGGGGUGAAGAGUAGGGAGUGUUUGAGUGUUUGUUAUUUUCAUUCCUUUAUUUUCACGAGAGGUUAGUCUUCGAAAGAUGCUAGGACUUUUGUCACUGCCUAUCUAAGUUCUUGUUGGUUCCUUCUUGACGCAACUGCUCAGCUUUAGAACAUUUUGUUUGUUUUGUUUUAUUUUUGAACAAAGGUUCAAUCAUUCAUUCAUUCACACAAGGUUUAUUGAGAACUAUGAUGACUGAUUACUGAUUACUGAUAUAACAAUUUUUCGAGUCAAGCGAUUUAUUUUUGUAUGAUAAUUUUUCAUUGUUUAUCGAAUCAUUUUGAUUAUUAUUAAUGUUGGAGGCUGUGACAAUGCCUCCCCCAUGACUGAUACUGCACCUUUUCUUUGUUUCAUGUUUCAUUGUACCUGGGAGAUCCAGGAGACACGGACACUUGUUGAGUCCUUGGGAGGAGUCCUUGAACUGAACUGUGUCUGUGUUUGUCCUGACGCCCUACUACGAACUUUCAUCCUCAUCCCCCACCACACCUGCGGUGGCCAUCAACUGGAAAAUAACUCUGUUGCAACUGCUACUCAAAACCAACUGUCAUGCAGUAUUGUCUGUGAUGUUGUGCCAAGCAGAGGGAGGUGUCUCGACAGUUGACUUUCUUGAUUCUUUAAAAAUGUUUUAAUCAUGAGUAACCUAAUGAGUUUGUUAUUUUCUUUAUUAUAGUGGCCUACACCUGGUUUACUUGUGUAUGAUUUGAAUUUACUUGUCCUAUUGCCUUUUAUGCUUUCUUUCAUUGAUUUAGUUAAUUAUUAAUGGGUCACCAGAAAAUACACUGAAUUCUCUUUUUGUGGGUGAUCUUUAAACUAUGUUUAGUAUGAUCAAGAG
ensembl:lncRNA